rnacentral:rRNA from 1 species
GUAAGGAAUAUUGGUCAAUGGGCGCAAGCCUGAACCAGCCAUGCCGCGUGCAGGAAGACGGCCCUCCGGGUUGUAAACUGCUUUUGUACGGGAAUAAACCUCUCUACGUGUAGGGAGCUGAAUGUACCGUAAGAAUAAGGAUCGGCUAACUCCGUGCCAGCAGCCGCGGUAAUACGGAGGAUCCAAGCGUUAUCCGGAUUUAUUGGGUUUAAAGGGUGCGUAGGCGGCCUGUUAAGUCAGGGGUGAAAGACGGUGGCUCAACCAUCGCAGUGCCCUUGAUACUGAUGGGCUUGAAUAGACUAGAGGUAGGCGGAAUGUGACAAGUAGCGGUGAAAUGCAUAGAUAUGUCACAGAACACCGAUUGCGAAGGCAGCUUACUAUGGUCUGAUUGACGCUGAGGCACGAAAGCGUGGGGAUCGAACAGGAUUAGAAACCCGGGUAGUCC